rnacentral:rRNA from 1 species
UAGUAAUUUGGUUCUAGUUAAAUUUUAGUUAGAGGGGUGGAAAAUACAUGGAAUUUGUUGAAGCGAGUGAGUUAAAAUGUUUGUUUUAAAAUUAGUUUAAAACUAUUCUAUGGCUGCAUUUGAGUAUUAUUGAAAAAUAUAGUUAAGGAAGAUGAUGCUUAGAGAUUUCACUUCACCAGUAUUGGAGAUUAAGUAUUUAGGAAACUAAGACUUAGUAAGUACCUGUAUGAGAGGCUCGGAGAAAUUUGUGCCAGCUUCCGCGGUUAGACAAAUGAGUCAAAUUAAAAAUAAUUGGUAAAAAAUGUAGUUAAUAAGUGUGUUAAAAGGUGCCCAGAGAACUAUUUGGCGGUAAAAUGUUUUUAGAUAGUGUGUGUGUUUUCUUUCACCUUAGUUAUGACUCUACGAAAUCUUUUAUUUAAACCGGGAUUAGAUACCCCGUUAUUUAAGAUGUAAAUAGCAAAAGUUACCUGAGUAUUACUGGAGAAAAAUGUUAAAAAUGUUUAAGUAGUCUUAAAACUCAAAGAACUUGGCGGUGUUUUAAGCCCUUUCAGGGGAACCUGUUCCGUAAUCGAUAGUCCACGAAGAACCUUACUUUCUUUUGUAUUUCAGUUUGUAUACCGUCGUCGUCAGGUAAUUUUCAGAGAAAAAAGUAGUUAGCUGAAAGAAUUGUUUAUUCUAGACGUCAGAUCAAGGUGCAGCUUAUAGGGAAGUGGUGAUGGGUUACAGGUAUAUGAGUUUUUAUGGUUUUUAUUAUGAAAUAUAGUAAAAUAAAACGGACUUGAGAGUAAGCCCUAGUAAGAGAGUAGGUGUUGAAAAUGGUUUUAAAAUGUGCACAAAUCGCCCGUCGCUCUCGUUGAAAACUGAGAUAAGUCGUAACAUAGUAAGGGUACUGGAAAGUGUUCUUGAGAUAAA